GACGAACGCUGGCGGCGUGCUUAACACAUGCAAGUCGAACGGAAAGGCCCCUUUGGGGGUCCUCGAGUGGCGAACGGGUGAGUAACACGUGAGUAACCUGCCCUUGACUUCGGGAUAACUUCAGGAAACUGGGGCUAAUACCGGAUAGGAAUCCUUGCUGCAUGGUGGGGGUUGGAAAGCUUCGGCGGUUUUGGAUGGACUCGCGGCUUAUCAGCUUGUUGGUGGGGUAGUGGCUUACCAAGGCUUUGACGGGUAGCCGGCCUGAGAGGGCGACCGGCCACAUUGGGACUGAGAUACGGCCCAGACUCCUACGGGAGGCAGCAGUGGGGAAGAUUGCCCAAUGGGCGGAAGCCUGAUGCAGCAACGCCGCGGGCGGGAGGACGGCCUUCGGGUUGUAAACCGCUUUCAGCAGGGGCGAAGCUUGUGGUGACGGUACCUGCAGAAGAAGCACCGGCUAACUACGUG
rnacentral:rRNA from 1 species